rnacentral:lncRNA from 1 species
CAAUAAAUUAUAGAUUAUAUUUAUGAUGUUCAUAUUAAUAAGCAUAACGCUUGGUUGCGAUAUUUAUAAUAUACAAUAUUUGUGGUACGCAAUAGGAAAAGUUUAUUCUGAUAUCUUAGCUAUCUUGAAUUUGAAUAUAAUCUUGCUGUACCGACGUACAGUUUAUGUAUUUAGUUUAUAUUUUUGGGAAACUAUUUCUAAAGUAAUUGACAUCAUGACUCAAAUGUAAUGUGUGCACGAGUUCAAGGAUAUGUAUAAAUUUAUGUUAUAUAGUUCUGAUUUAUUUUGAACAUUCGUCGCCAAAUUCGGGUGCUUUAAAUACGGCUAAAGAUGAACUAUAAUGACAGUUUUAACGACCUAAAAAACUAUUACAAUAUGUUUUGAUUAUCAAAUGAGAAAAGACGUGGUGCUUAGUUUCUAUUUGAAAAGGAGUUUUUAAUAUUAUUAAUACAUUUAUAUGGAUAAUGGUUCACCGCUUACAUUUUUCUUUGGAGAAUGCUUCGAAGAAAUUUCUAUGGAGAAUUCUAUAUUUCUAUGUAGAAUUCUUCGAUAUAUAGCAUAAAAGUAAGCUAUGCGCCUAAAUUUUACUGUGUUCAUAUUUACAAUCAAGUAAAUACAUGAAAAUCAUCACAAUAUAUAUAGUAAACAACGAAAAAAAAUUGAUGAAAUAAAAUUUAUUGGUAAAUAUUUCCAUUAUUUCGUCAAAUCGUCAUGAAUUUGAAGAAAAUAUGCACCAAGUUCGUGGUGUUUAGUGAUUCUGAAGAGAACGCGGUGAAUUGUGGUUUUGCUGGAACAUAAUUACUUCGGUGUGAAGGGCAAAAAAUCGUUAAAAGAACUUAAGGACUUUAAUGCGUUACUAUUUGAAUGUGUAAAAGUAGAAGGUUUCACCGAAUCGGAUGUGUUCAGAAAAGACUCAGCCACAAAAUUAAAACAAACCCAUUCUGUUUUAUACAUAAAUACUUAUUUUCAUUACGAAUUUCAUACAUGUAUUUUUAUAAAUAAAGCAAAAUUAAUAUGCAAUCUUUUCUAUUCUAGUAUUGACCUUGGCAUAAAAAAACUCUCCGUU